rnacentral:tRNA from 1 species
GUCCUCGUAGUUGAAUGGAUACAAUACUUCCCUCCGAAGGAAGUGGUGCCGGUUCGAUUCCGGCCGAGGACACUA